ensembl:lncRNA
GUCAUCUCUUCAUAUCUCUCUAUCAAGUAGAAUUGGUUUUGGUGAAAGAGCAAUCUGAACCUUCUUUUUUAAUAUAAUUAUGAUGAGCACAGUGGGAAUAUGUGCAGAAAGAAAAUCAUCCAAGGCUAACUGGAUGGUUCAUGUGACUGUGAGAGGUUCUGUACACCAAGAAGGUACCUCUGAGAAAACCUGGGCUUCAGUCAGGAAAAGUUUCCUGAGAAUGGGACUGAAGCAUCUGGGUGUAUGCUGCCGUUGUUAUGAGCAAAUCCGAACUAUGGACCUGAUACAUCCUCGCAGCAGUCAUGGGAAGCUGGCUUGUAAUCUCCCCAUUCCUUGCAUGCUGUUUGUCACCAGAGGUAAAGCUGAGGUUUCUGUAGUGUGUACAAUCAACAGUCAGACACAGAUGAGAGCUCUUGAGUAUUUAGCCUAUUUAAAUAUCCCACGACAUUUCUUUCCUGAACUGUGUCAAUGAAAAGUCAACAUCCAAUAUUUCUUCACCCUGCUGAAAACUGCUGGUGUUUGCCAAGCCCUCUGCAUCAUCCUGGCUGAAGUCUCCAAGAGAAAUCGAUGUGUUUCAAUGCCACAGUGCAGGGGCACCUGGAGAGCAUUGCUGCUGCAGGAUGGGAUUGUACAAUGUCCUCUCUGCAGCAGCACUUGGGAGAUGCUGUUGCACUGUUUCAGUUCUGGUUUAGCAGUAGAUUAAAAAACCUAAAUAUUGACUGCACUGAACAUGUAAAUAUAUCUUAGACCUCUGUGAAGGUCAUUGGUAGACACUGAGUUCAGAUUGUGGUCUAGCCUACAUCCUAACUGGAAACAUGGCAUGCAUUUCCACCCCAUCCCCUCUUUUCUUCUUUUUGAUGGAUUAUCUCCUACCAUUCAUAGUGCUUUUCUUUUCCUGGGUUCUGGCCUUACCCCUCUGCCUUUGCACAGGAAGCUCCAUCUUGCCAAGGAGAAGCUCACCACUGCUGUGUCUAAAAUCAUUGAGUCCUUACCUGAUCCAGUGGCCAGGGAAGAUUCUUAUCACUGCCUUCUGGCAGCUCAGGAUACCAGAGUUCUUGUCCUGACAUAACCCAUCUGUCAGCAGGGGUCACAGGGUGCUGCUUGAGUUCAGAAAAUGAGUUUAGGGAAAGAAUUCAAAUAAGCACUUUUGUAUGCUGCCUCUUCAAUUAGCAGAGGAAAAAAAAGCUGUUUUUGUAGGAGCGCUGUGGUAUGCUGCUACCUUCUGAACACCUUCUGGAAAAGCCGGUCUCUCUCCAUGGAUUGUCAAGGACUAGAAAGUAAAAACAAGGGUUUUACAGAGAAGCUGUAUUUGUCUAAAGAGGGAAAGUUAAGAUCAGCACUAGAAACACAAUGUACUUUCUUGUUGUGUAUCACUACAAACACCAGCUUUUGGUAAUGCCAUUAAAUUCUAUAGAUCUUUGGGUUGUUUGAUGAUACCCACACAGCUCUAAGUACUUUUUGCCUUUUCUUGGCAUUGCUUGUUGUUGUUGCAAGCAGUCACUGCUAGAUCUAAUCAAGUUUAAACAUCUGAAUCAUAAAAAUGUAAGGGCAGUAGUCUCAAGGAAAGGGAAUUUUAAUGUAAACUGAUGCUCAAAGAAAGGAGUAAUUGUCAUGUGGUUUUGCUUUUAUAUCUGAAAUAUAUGGCAAGCAACAGCAUGAGGAAGGUGUUUCCACAGGAGCAUCUCUUAAAAGUGUUGUCCUUAAAUUACUCCUGUGAGUCAGUAGAAGAGACAUGUUUAAGGAAAUUAUCAAAAUUGGAAAUGGCUUUGUACAUCUGUUUAUUUUGGGCUAUUUAAAAGCACAGUAAGUUUUGCAUUUAACUACAUUCUUCACAUGCUACUGUAAUAAUUGGCUAUACCCAUAUUUUUUUCCUUUCUUCCUUGCCUUCUUUGAACGUUUAACUUCUAAACUUUCAUUUAUUAUGACCUUUAUUUUGUUUCCCUAUAAAUGCUUGGGUUAAAAAACAAAAAUUAAAAUUUUUGUUGUGAAUUGCUAUUAUUAGGAUGCAGAAUUUUACACAUGGGUCCUCAGUAUCCUCAAAGACUGAUACACAUCUGAUAUGGGCAACCAUUUUCUGACUACAGGGUUAAUAAAAAAAUAAUUCUAGUUUUAUUGUUUCUUUUU